UGAGGAAUAUUGGUCAAUGGACGAAAGCCUGAUCCAGCCAUGCCGCGUGAGUGACGAAGGCCUUAGGGUUGUAAAACUCUUUCGUCGGGGACGAUAAUGACGGUACCCGAAGAAGAAGCUCCGGCUAACUUCGUGCCAGCAGCCGCGGUAAGACAGAGGUUGCAAACGUUGUUCGGAAUCACUGGGCAUAAAGCGCACGUAGGCGGUCUGUUAAGUCAGGUGUGAAAGCCCCCGGCUCAACCGGGGAACAGCAUUUGAUACUGGCAGACUCGAGGAUGGUAGGGGUGAGUGGAACUCCAGGUGGAGCGGUGAAAUGCGUAGAUAUCUGGAGGAACACCGGUGGCGAAAGCGGCUCACUGGACCAUAACUGACGCUGAGGUGCGAAAGCUAGGGUAGCAAACGGGAUUAGAUACCCAGGUAGUCCCUGAGCGGGCUGGCAAGGCGCAU
rnacentral:rRNA from 1 species